AACUCAUCAACUGUCUUUUGUCCACCCUUCUGAUUGCUUUGGAGUAUGGUCUUCUAAUCUCCACGACUCCUUCCUCUUUAAGCUUUUUCACAAUCCACUCCCUAUUCUUGGAUCUUACUUUUGAACCAGGCGGGAGUGGUGUGUCCUCUGAGUGGAUUGUUCCUCCUUUAUCUACCUCUCCAUCUUUAGGUACCUGCAAAAUAUUACAGUUUUCAGUAUCAGUACCUUCAGAUUCUUCUUCUGCA
rnacentral:lncRNA from 1 species